AGAAUCAACGCUGGCGGCGUGCCUAACACAUGCAAGUCGAACGCGAAAGUCCCGCAAGGGAUAAGUAGAGUGGCAAACGGGUGAGUAACACGUGGGUGACCUGCCUUCGAGCGGGGGAUAACGUCCCGAAAGGGACGCUAAUACCGCAUAAUAUGCCGCCUUUUAACAGGUGGACAUCAAAGCUGGGGAUCGCAAGACCUAGCACUUGAAGAGGGGCCCGCGUCUGAUUAGCUAGUUGGUGGGGUAAUGGCUCACCAAGGCAACGAUCAGUA
rnacentral:rRNA from 1 species